rnacentral:rRNA from 1 species
CCUACGGGAGGCAGCAGUGAGGAAUAUUGGUCAAUGGACGAGAGUCUGAACCAGCCAAGUAGCGUGAAGGAUGACUGCCCUAUGGGUUGUAAACUUCUUUUAUAUGGGAAUAAAAUGUUCCACGUGUGGGAUUUUGUAUGUACCAUAUGAAUAAGGAUCGGCUAACUCCGUGCCAGCCGCCGCGGUAAUACGGAGGAUCCGAGCGUUAUGCGGAUUUAUUGGGUUUAAAGGGAGCGUAGGUGGAUUGUUAAGUCAGUUGUGAAAGUUUGCGGCUCAACCGUAAAAUUGCAGUUGAAACUGGCAGUCUUGAGUACAGUAGAGGUGGGCGGAAUGCGUGGUGUAGCGGUGAAAUGCUUAGAUAUCACGAAGAACUCCGAUUGCGAAGGCAGCUCACUGGACUGCAACUGACACUGAGGCUCGAAAGUGUGGGUAUCAAACAGGAUUAGAUACCCGGGUAGUC